ACGGAAGGCAGCAGUCGGGAAUAUUGCGCAAUGGAGGAAACUCUGACGCAGUGACGCCGCGUAUAGGACGAAGGUCUUCGGAUUGUAAACUAUUGUCGUUAGGGAAGAGAAAGGACAGUACCUAAGGAGGAAGCUCCGGCUAACUACGUGCCAGCAGCCGCGGUAAUACGUAGGGAGCGAGCGUUAUCCGGAUUUAUUGGGUGUAAAGGGUGCGUAGACGGGAAAUUAAGUUAGUUGUGAAAUCCCUCGGCUUAACUGAGGAACUGCAACUAAAACUGGUUUUCUUGAGUAUUGGAGAGGAAAGCGGAAUUCCUAGUGUAGCGGUGAAAUGCGUAGAUAUUAGGAGGGACACCGGUGGCAAAGGCGGCCUGCUGGACUGUAACUGACACUGAGGCUCGAAAGCGUGGGGAGCAAACAGGAUUAGAUACCCUGGUA
rnacentral:rRNA from 1 species